AACGUAGGAGACGAGCGUUAUCCGGAUUUACUGGGCGUAAAGCGCGUGCAGGCGGUCUAUUAAGUCACUUGUGAAAGCGCCCGGCUCAACUGGGCGAGGCCGUGUGAGACUGAUAGACUCGAGAGAGGUAGAGGCGAAUGGAAUUCCGGGUGGAGUGGUGAAAUGCGUAGAGAUCCGGAGGAACACCAGUGGCGAAGGCGAUUCGCUGGGCCUUCUCUGACGCUCAGACGCGACAGCAUGGGGAGCGAACGGG
rnacentral:rRNA from 1 species